rnacentral:lncRNA from 1 species
CUUCCUCAGAUUGUCUGGGAUCCAACUUUGCACAGAUGGGUUAACAAAACUGAGCCCAAGGCUGAGAACAAGUAUGUACAACCACCUCCACGAAUGGGGACAUAUGGAUAUCAGGAGAACACUGGCAGUGUCCCCAAAGGACAGGUCUAUGGGGCAGCAGAUACCCUACAAUGCAUUACAAUGAUGAGACCAACUCAAAGCCUUGGGCCUGGACUGCUUCCUAGACAGCUCUCUGGCUUGCUCCCUCCUUCACACUUUGACCUCAUGGCACCAAUGGUUGUACCACCUGACACUCUACCCUACUGAGGUAACCUGCUGUUCCUGGCUGUGGUCAGCCAUUUUGGGACGAAGCUGCACGGGCCCAGGCUCAUUGCUAUGGGCUGUUUCCUCAUGGCUGUAGGAUCCUUCCUCACAGGCCUGCCACACUUCUUCAUGGGAUGGUUAAAACAAUUGAAAUACUGGUUAAACUUGUACUUGUAGAGAGACUCC